GGCUUCGUAGCUCAGCUGGUAGAGCGUGCGCUGUACAAAUGCGUGGGCGACGUCCAUGUGUGGGUUCGAAUCCCAUCGUGGCUA
rnacentral:tRNA from 1 species